GACGAACGCUGGCGGCGUGCUUAACACAUGCAAGUCGAACGGAAAGGCCCUGCUUUUGUGGGGUGCUCGAGUGGCGAACGGGUGAGUAACACGUGAGUAACCUGCCCUUGACUUUGGGAUAACUUCAGGAAACUGGGGCUAAUACCGGAUAGGAGCUCCUGCUGCAUGGUGGGGGUUGGAAAGUUUCGGCGGUUGGGGAUGGACUCGCGGCUUAUCAGCUUGUUGGUGGGGUAGUGGCUUACCAAGGCUUUGACGGGUAGCCGGCCUGAGAGGGUGACCGGGCACAUGGGGACUGAGAGACGGCCCAGACUCGAACGGGAGGCAGCAGUGGGGAGUAUUGCACAAUGGGCGGAAGCCUGAUGCAGCAACGCCGCGUGCGGGAUGACGGCCUUCGGGUUGUAAACCGCUUUCGCCUGUGACGAAGCGUGAGUGACGGUAAUGGGUAAAGAAGCACCGGCUAACUACGUG
rnacentral:rRNA from 1 species